rnacentral:rRNA from 1 species
CCUACGGGAGGCAGCAGUGAGGAAUAUUGGUCAAUGGCCACAGGGCUGAACCAGCCAAGUCGCGUGAGGGAUGACGGUCCUAUGGAUUGUAAACCUCUUUUGUCAGGGAGCAAAGGGCGCCACGUGUGGCGCUUUGCGAGUACCGGAAGAAAAAGCAUCGGCUAACUCCGUGCCAGCAGCCGCGGUAAUACGGAGGAUGCGAGCGUUAUCCGGAUUUAUUGGGUUUAAAGGGUGCGCAGGCGGAAUGUCAAGUCAGCGGUAAAAUUUCGGGGCUCAACCCCGUCGUGCCGUGGAAACUGGCGUUCUUGAGUGAGCGAGAAGUAUGCGGAAUGCGUGGUGUAGCGGUGAAAUGCAUAGAUAUCACGCAGAACUCCGAUUGCGAAGGCAGCAUACCGGCGCUCAACUGACGCUCAUGCACGAAAGCGUGGGUAUCGAACAGGAUUAGAUACCCUAGUAGUC